rnacentral:rRNA from 1 species
UACGUAGGGGGCAAGCGUUGUCCGGAAUCAUUGGGCGUAAAGAGCGCGUAGGCGGCCCUGUAAGUCCGCUGUGAAAGUCAAGGGCUCAACCCUUGAAUGCCGGUGGAUACUGCAGGGCUAGAGUCCGGAAGAGGCGAGUGGAAUUCCUGGUGUAGCGGUGAAAUGCGCAGAUAUCGGGAGGAACACCAAUGGCGAAGGCAGCUCGCUGGGACGUGACUGACGCUGAGACGCGAAAGCGUGGGGAGCAAACAGG